ACUCCUACGGGAGGCAGCAGUGGGGAAUAUUGCACAAUGGGGGAAACCCUGAUGCAGCCAUGCCGCGUGUGUGAAGAAGGCCUUCGGGUUGUAAAGCACUUUCAGUAGGGAGGAAGGUAGUNUAGUUAACAACCUGCAUUAUUUGACGUUUACCUACAGAAGAAGCACCGGCUAACUCCGGUGCCAGCAGCCGCGGUAAUACGGAGGGUGCGAGCGUUAAUCGGAAUUACUGGGCGUAAAGCGCAUGCAGGCGGCCUGUUAAGUCAGAUGUGAAAGCCCGGGGCUUAACCUCGGAAUUGCAUUUGAAACUGGCAGGCUAGAGUCUUGUAGAGGGGGGUAGAAUUUCAGGUGUAGCGGUGAAAAUGCGUAGAGAUCUGAA
rnacentral:rRNA from 1 species